rnacentral:lncRNA from 1 species
CUGCUGUGGCUGAGCUGUGCGACCCCAAACCAGGAGACAGGUGAGGAGCCCAGCUGGCAGCUGAAAGGAACCUGGCUUCUAGUCUCUUUCAUUCAUUCAUUCAAUCAUUUUUGUUCCUGGCAUGAUUUACCUCCCAAGGGCUAAUGCUAAUUUAUUAAUUAAUUAAAGAGUUCAUUUACUCAGCACCUACUUGUGCUUAAUGUGGCUCCUCUGCGUACAGAUCAUCUUCAUAUUUCUGAGAUGUGGAUUAGCUGGGAGGGUCUGCUUUGGUUGGGGAUCCCCGAGGAGUGUCCAAAGGAGAUUCCUGUGAGUAGAGGCAGCAUGGGGCUCUGGAAUGUGCACUGUGGGGGAGGCAGAAGGGAAGGUGGUGUGACAAAGCCUAGAUCCAGAUUAAUAGGCAGGCUCAAGGGGCAACUGCCAGGCACCAACUGAUGUGGUUUGCUAAAAUACCCCUGGAAACGCAGUGGGAUGAUAAAGCGGUGUUUAUUAGAAUGCCUUUUGGGAGAAAACUAAAUGUCAUUGUUAGGGAUACUUUUUGUGGGAAUGGGAGCCUCCAGGGGUGUGCUUAAGUAACAACAUCUAUGCUAUUAAAUUGUUUUGUGUAGAGGACUUCUGGGGAAGGGCAGGACUUCAGUUUUGCUGAGGGGAAUUUGCAGGUUUGGGGCUGGAGCAGGAUCAGUGGGAACUGCAGAGGGAGGAGGAGGCUGCCCAGGGCCCCCUUUCCACACCCUUCCUCAGCACGCUCGCCCUCUUCUCUAUAAAAUUGUCAAAUAUGUUUCAGGAGUAUUGCUCUGGAGGGGCGCAAACUAUCAGCAGGUUCUAUUAUUAGGUUCUUCACCCACUCCUUUCUGGGCUCCAGAACUUGUCACUUUUACUAGCCUCUCGGUCUGAGGCCAACAGGAUGGUCACUUGAGCUAUAUUGCCUGCUCACUAGGAAGCCAUUUCCUAGCGGUUCACUGCUUCUCUAUCACAUCCCAUGGCUGUCGCCUCUUAACCUGCACUGAUCAUACAGCAUGGUGAUGUUCUGGUUACUUGUAGUUUGAUGACACUGUUCACUAGACUGAGCUCCUGGAAAGUGUUUUUUUUGUAGGGUCUGGUGGCGCAGGGCACUAGAAUAUAUGUCCCUGAUCCACCAUGGUACCUGGCUCAGAGAGCCACUCAAUAGAAUAAAAUGAGGGACACUUGGGUGGCUUAGUCUAUUAGGCAUCUGGCUUUUGGUUUUGGCUCAGGUCAUGAACUCAUGGUUCAUAAGUUCGAGCUCCACACUGGGCUCUACACUGACUGUGGGGAGCAUGCUUGGGAUUUUCUCUCUCCUCUCUCUCUGCCCCUCCCCAGCUCGUUCUGUCUCUCUCUCUCUCAAAAUAAAUAAACUUAAAAAAUAGAAUAAAAUGAAUGAAUGAAUGAAUGAAUGAGUGAAUGGGUGCUUGGUCUCUUAUGCUGUCAUUUUUGUGAUAGAACCAGUCAGGACUGUUGGAAGCUAUAACUGUCUCCUGACCUUGGACACUGUGGGAACUCCAGUGUGAGCCCAAAUUCAAUUCAGAUAUAUAUUUUUUAAUUUUUUUAAAGUGUUUAUUUAUUUUUGAGAGAGAGAGAGAGAGAGAGAGAGAGAGAGUGCAAGUAGGGCAGGGGCAGAGAGAGAGAGGGAGACACAGAAUCUGAAGCAGGCUCCAGGCUCUGAGCUGUCAGCACAGAGCCCAACGUGGGGCUUGAACUCACAGACUGCAAGAUCAUGACCUAAGCUGAAGUAGGACGCUUAACUGACUAAGCCACCCAGGCAACCCUCAAUUCAGAUAUUUUGAAUUAAAUUGAAUAAAAAUUAUUUGACAGCAGAACUACAGUGAUGCAUUUCUUACCUUGGGUGAGCUGGUAGGGAAGACAGAUAUACCUCCAGAAAGAAGGCUGUAAUAACAGACAGGGAUUAAUGCUAUGUUAGAAGCUAAAAUCAAUAGGUUUUAAGAGUAAAAGGAAAGAGUUAAUCCCAAUAAAUGUAGUUAAUCCCUUCUAUCCCAGGUGGGCUCGGGGGCAGGGCGGGGGCUAGGGGGUAGGAGAUGUGUUGGAAGGCCUUUCAGAAUAGAUCAAAUUUAUUUAAAAUUUUUUUUCUUGUGGAAGUUUUCUAAUUUUUUUAAAUGUUUAUUUUUUUUUAUUUUUUUUUUUUUAUUUUUUUUAAAAUUUUUUUUUUCAACGUUUUUAUUUAUUUUUGGGACAGAGAGAGACAGAGCAUGAACGGGGGAGAGGCAGAGAGAGAGGGAGACACAGAAUCGGAAACAGGCUCCAGGCUCUGAGCCAUCAGCCCAGAGCCCGACGCGGGGCUCGAACUCACGGACCGCGAGAUCGUGACCUGGCUGAAGUCGGACGCUUAACCGACUGCGCCACCCAGGCGCCCCUAAAUGUUUAUUUUUGAGAGAGAGACAGAGUGCAAGCAGGGGAGGGGCAGAGAGAGAGGGAGACAAAGAAUCUAAAGCAGGCUCCAGGCUCUGAGCGGUCAGUGCAGAGCCCAACACAGGGCUCAAACUCAUGAACCCGGAAAUCGUGACCUGGGCUGAGGUCAGCCCCUUAACCGACUGAGCCACCCAGGUGCCCCCUUAUGGAAAUUUUCAAACACACACAAAAAGAGAGAGAAUAAUAUAAUGAACCUACUGUUCUUAUUGGCUAAUUUAAAAAUUAUCAACAUUUUGCCCAAAUUCUCAUCCACCAUAUUAAAAAAUAUAACCACAAUACCUUAUGAAAGAUGAAAUAAUUAAAAUAAUUACUACCAUUAAAAAAAUUUUUUAAUGUUUAUUUUUGAGAGAGAGAGAGAAACAGAGUGUGAGCGGGGGAGGGGCAGAGAGAGAGGGAGACACAGAAUCCGAAGCAGGCUCCAGGCUCUGAACUGUCAGCUCGGAGCCCAACGCAGGGCUCAAACCCACAGACCGCAAGAUCAUGACCUGAGCUGAAGUCAGAUGCUUAACCGACUGAGCCACCCAGGCGCCCCUACUUACUACCAUUUAAUACCUAUUCAUAUUUCUCCAACUUUCAAAAAGACUUUUUUGCAACUGGCUUAUUUAACCAGGACCCAAACAAGGCCCACACAUUACAUUUACUGGUAUAUUUCUUUUUAUUUAUUUAUUUAUUUAUUUAUUUAUUUAUUUAUUUAUUUUACUGGUAUAUUUCUUAAGCCUCUUCAAAUCUAUCAGUCCUCUUUUCCUUUUUUUCAUGCUGUUUUUAGUUGAUGGAACCAGUAAAAAGUUCUAUAUUCUGGAUUUAUCUGAUUGAAUCUAUGUGGCUGUCUCUCUGUCCUCUGCAUUUCCUGAAACCUGGUAAUUAAGGUUCAUUUACUUUGGCAAGAAUAUACCAUAGGUGGGGCUGUGUACUUGCUAUUGCAUCUCGAAGGAGACACACAAAGUCCAGUGGUCCCACUUUACUGUGUUAAAUAAACUUGAUCAAACAAAUGCAAUCUGCGGUAGGUCCAUUAUAAAUUUUUUUUUUUAACGCUUAUUUAUUUUUGAGACAGAGAGAGACAGAGCAUGAACGAGGGAGGGUCAGAGAGAGAGGGAGACACAGAAUCUGAAACAGGCUCCAGGCUCUGAGCCAUCAGCCCAGAGCCUGACGCGGGGCUCGAACUCACGGACCGCGAGAUCGUGACCUGAGCUGAAGUUGGACAUUUAACCAACUGAGCCACCCAGGCGCCCCUGUGGUAGGUCCAUUAUAGACAUCCCCCCUCAACCUUUCUCUAAUGGUUUUAACCUCCACUGAUGAUUGUUGCAUAGAUCCAUUUUUUUCAUUAGGGGUUGCCAAACGCUGGCUUUCCGAUUCUGUCACUCCUUCUGCACUUAUUAGCUGCAGUUCUUCUAUAAAGACUUUUCCCUUGUCAUUUACUUGGUUUGUAUGGAAAGGCUGGAUAAAUAUUUAAUUCUUCAUUUAUCAUUUUCAGAAUAACGGGCUUGUUCCUUAGCAACCCAGGGAAGAUUGAAUUUAAACAUGACCUUGAAGAAUAAGAAUGUUUUCUUUUAGUGGCUAUGAGAGGGAAGGGCCUUUCACAUAAAGGAAACAGCUUGAGCAAAGGCUCCAAAGCAGGAGUAUUCAGGGUGUUUAGAGAAUGGCAGAGAUUAGUAGCAAGUGCAACAAGAGGCUUUUUGAAUGAGAAGCCUGGUGUGGUGGAAACGGCAGGGAAGAAGUCAGGAUUGCUGGUUCUACUCCCAGCUCAAGUACGACCUUCAGAAAAUGACUUUUCCAUUUCUAGAUCAGAGACUUUCACACUUUUCUGGCCACAAUCUACAUUAAUAAAUAUAUUUUGCACUAUUAUUCAGUACAUACAUACAGGUAUAUAAAAACGAAAAUUUCAGAAAGAACCAUAAACAGCUUACACUUACAUAUACAAUGUAUGCUAUGCUAUGCUGUUCUGUUCUGUUCCAUUCCAUUUCAUUCCAUUCCAUCUUAUUAAAAUAAAUGAUGUUCAUGGGGUGCCUGGGUGGUUCAGUCGGUUAAGCAUCUGACUUCGCCUCAGGUCAUGAUCUCACUGUUGGUGACUUCGAGCCCCACGUCGGACUCUCUACUGUCAGCGCAGAGCCUACUUUGGAUCCUCUGUCUCCCUCUCUCUCUGCCCCUCCCCUGCUUGUGUGCUCUCUCUCUUUCUCUCUCUGUCUCUCUCAAAAUAAAUAAGUAAAGUUAAAUAAAAUAAAUGCUGGUCAUGAUCACGGAAUUGAUCUCUGACUCACAAAUGGGCUACAGCACUUGUUUGGAUGGUCUCUGGGGCUCUUUUCCACCUCCAGCCCUCUUUGAUCCAUCCUUGGCAUUGGUGACAACCUGACACUGAACCAGGCACUUGGGAAGAGGGAGGAUGUGAGAAGAGGAACUACUCAUUUGCAGGAGGCUCCCAGCUCAGCAUGAGACAGAAGCCAGGCCAAACUCAAAGGCCACCACCCAGCCUGGCCCGCCAUCACCUUGAGAGGUCUGACCUCCCAGGCCACCGCCCCCCUUUCAUCAGACACCUGCCAGCCCCUCUUUCCAUAACAGGCUGGGCGAGCCACACCUAACCCCACGUCCUCUCAGGGGCCUACUCCCUGUUGAUCGCAUCAACUUUGGAAGGCCCUCAAGUUUAUGCCUAAACAAAGCCCCAGGCAGGUGCUAACCUAACAGGAGCUGAUUCCAUGGGUCAGGAACAGCACUGAGAGUCCUGGGUAUAAGAACACCUGGGGCUCAUUCCCAUCUGACUCACCAGAUGACCUCGGCCACGUCCCUACCUGCCAAUGCCUUGUUUUCCCCUUCCCUUAAAAAAAGAUGAACCCCCUCGCUUGGUAGUGGAUAUACACUGGUCAGAUAUAAUUGAAUUGAGCAACUUGGGAAAAUGAUCAGAAUUAAGGUUGAUGUUGGGACCAUGGAGACCUUCCUCUAACUUUGUGGGAGUUUUGUUGGUCCUUCUUGUCACAUUUCUGUUGUUUUCUCUCUUGCUUCUCUGUCUUCCUUGCUGUCACACCCCUGCCACCCUCCUCAUUCACCCUCCUCAUUCACCCUCUCUCAUUCAUCUCUUUCUCUCAGCCCCGACUCAUUCUUGUGCCUCUGUUUUUAAUAACAGCUUUCCUGGGAUAUAAAUCAUGGAACAUAAAAGUCAUCCUUUUAAAAGUGUACAGUUCAGGGGGUUUUAGUAUGUUCACAGAGUCGUGCGAACCACUGUCUAAUUUCAGAACAUUUCUUCAUUCCCAAAGGAGACCCUGUACCCAUUAGCAGUCACUACCUGCUCCCCAUACUUCCCGGCCCCCCGAGAACCAUUAAUCUACUUUCUGUCUCUAUGGACUUCCAUAUUGUAGACAUUUCACUUAAAAGGAAUCAUACAGUGUGUGGCCUUUUGUGGCUGACUGCUUCCACUUAGCAUCAUGUUUCAGGGUUCAUCCACAUCGUAGCAUGUGUCAGAACUUCAUUCCUUUUUGGGGGCUGACUGGUAUACCAUAUUUUGUUUUAUCCAUUCAUCAGUUGAUGGACAUUUGAAAUGGUUCCACUUUGGGGUUCUUAUGAAAAAUGCUCCCAUGGACAUACAUGCACAGGUUUUUAUGUGAGCAUGUAUUUUCACUUCUCUUAAGUAUAUACCCAGCAGUGGGAUUGCUGCAUUGUAUGGUUUUCACUCUAAAUUAAACAUUCUGAGGAACUGCCAAACUGUUUUUCUCUGUUUUUCAGAGUGGCUGCACCAUUUUUCAAGUCCACCAGCAGUGGAUGGUGUUCCAAUUUCUCCACAUUCUCACCAACACCUGUUUCCUAAUGGGUGUGAAAUGGUGUCUCCUUUGUGGUUCUGAUUUGCUUCUCCUUGAUAACAAAUGUUGUUGAGCAUCCUUUUGUGUGCUUGUUGCCUACUGGUAUAUCUUCUUUGGAUAUAUCUUUCACCCAUUUAAAAAUUGGGUUAUUUGUCUUUUUGUUGUUGUUGUUGUUGAGCUGUAGGAGUUCUUUACAUAUUCUGGAUAAAAUUCUCUCAUCACAUGUAUGAUUUGCAGAUAUUUUCUCCCAUUCCAUGGGUUGUCUUUUCACUUUCUUGAUACUAUCCUCGGAAGCACAAAACUUUAAAAUUUCAAUCAAGUCCAGUGUAUAUUUUUCUUUUGUUGCUUGUGCUUUUGGUGUCAUAUCUGGGAAACUAUUGCUUCGUCCAAGGCCAUGAUCAUUUACAUCUAUGGUUUCACCUAAGAGUUUUGUAGUUUUGACUCUUACGUUUAGGUCUGUGAUCCAUUUUAAGUUAAUUUUUAUGUAUGGUAUGAGGUAGAGGUCCAAAUCCAUUCCUUUGCACACGGAUAUCCAGUUGUCCCAGUGCCAUUUGUUACAACUGUCUCUUUUUAUUUUAAAAAUUUUUAAAUAUUUAUUUAUUUUUGAGAGAGAGAGAGACAGAGUGUGAGUGGAGGAGGGGCAGAGAGAGAGAGAGAGGGAGACACAGAACCCGAAACAGGCUACAGGCUCUGAGCUGUUAGCACAGAGCCUGAUGUGGGGCUCGAAUUGGGGAACGGCCAGAUCAUGACCUGAGCUGAAGUUAGAGGCUUAACUGACUGAGCCAUCAGGUGCCCCAUACCUGUCUCUUUUUAAUGUCCCCUUUUUCUGCAGGCAGCUGCUCCCAACCCCAGCCCCUCUGCUGCUUUGGAACAGAUCACCACUGCAAGAGAGGAAGCUGCUACUGUGAUGAAUUCUGCCACGAGGUGUCAGACUGCUGCCCAGACCACCGCACCCUGUGCACCCUGGAUAACUCACAUGCAGGCUCCUUCCCACCCCUGGCGGAGCCGGAUGCUGUGAUGGACAGAGGCAAGCCCCUUGCUUGUACUUCAGGCCAAGGCCAGGAUGUGGACUGGAUGCCUCCUGAGGGCCCUGAUAAUCCUGAGAUCCUCACAUUUGGUCCAUUUCGUACCAAAAGUGCCCACAUAUUCCUCCCAGCUUUGUUUCCCCACUGCUCCUGACCACCUGCUGCUCCCCUCUGAGCUCCUUUCCCAGAUCCCCACAGGGAGAGGCUAAGCUGUUGGUGGUUGGGGAUCAGGGUGGCGAGUGAGGUGGUUGGGUCACCUAACUGCCCCCGCAUCUCUUGCAACAUAGAUGCCUCUUGACCUGACCCAUGUAGACUUUUGAGGGAAGACAGGAGUCUGCAGAGAGGUGCUAGGGAUGUUACAUAGGAGGAGGGAGACUGGGAGUCAGGGAGGAGGCCAGGAGCUUUUGCUUUGUGUUUCUCAGCUUCUCAGAAUACCAAGAUGGUGCUGCAGAUGGUGCUGAGGAGGGAGACCCCCCCGAGCCCUG